rnacentral:siRNA from 1 species
UGAGUUAGUCUUUGUUCGUCGACA